rnacentral:lncRNA from 1 species
GCUAUUAGCGACGAAGUUAGCCGUUGUCGUCAUUGAAACCAUUGCUAAUAGUUUGCCCUAAAAUCUCUCCUCGGGUCUUCGAUCGCUCUGUUCUUCAUCCAUUGCCAUCCCUUAAACCGCCACCUUUAUCCUCGAUUUUUGCCCUCCGUGCUACCGAAGGCCACGUCGCCGCGCUUGAGACCCUGCGCCGCCAUCUCCUCCUCAGAUCCGACAUCCCCGCACUAGAUCGAUCGUCGCCUAUCCCGUGCUGGCCCUCUCCAUUCUUCCCCACCUCUCACCUCUUCCUCGGUGUAGCCGGACGCUCGCUGGAGCCCCAUCCUGAUGCCCUGACCUCCUUCCUUCUCAACCUCCCAUAUUCUUCCCCUGCUACCGUCUCUGCUCCGGAUCGAGCUUCUCCUCAUCGGAUCUGUCAUCCCAAGACUCCCUCCUUCCCUCGCACCGCUGCAGAACACCGUCAUCUGCAGUCCCCCGUCGCCUCCUCUUUUUUCCUGCACCGCCAUGUGACUUUUAGCGACAGCGAUGGCAAUGGAGCCGUUGCCACAUGUCGUUCCUUCUUCUUAAUUUUUUUAAUAUUUAAAUUUAUAUUUAUCAAAUUUAUUUAAAUUUAUAAUAUUUGAUGUAAUUUGCGCACGAGAAGUGCAUUCUCGAUCAC